rnacentral:rRNA from 1 species
GCAUGGUUGUCGCCAGNUCGUGUCGUGAGAUGUUGGGUUAAGUCCNGCAACGAGCGCAACCCCUGUGGUUAGUUGCCAUCAUUCAGUUGGGCACUCUAAGCAGACUGCCGUGGAUAACACGGAGGAAGGUGGGGACGACGUCAAAUCAUCAUGCCCCUUAUGACCUGGGCUACACACGUGCUACAAUGGUCUGAACAGAGGGCUGCGAAACCGCGAGGUGAAGCUAAUCCCUUAAAACAGAUCUCAGUUCGGAUUGCAGGCUGCAACUCGCCUGCAUGAAGUUGGAGUUGCUAGUGAUCGCAGAUCAGAAUGCUGCGGUGAAUGCGUUCCCGGGUCUUGUACACACCGCCCGUCACACCACGAGAGUUGGCAACACCCGAAGUCAGUGAGGCAACCGCAAGGAGCCAGCUGCCGAAGGUGGGGUCAGUAA